GGUCCCGCCUGCCCUGUGACUACAUGUUUAACGGCCGCGGUAUUUUGACCGUGCGAAGGUAGCGCAAUCACUUGUCUUUUAAAUGGAGACCUGUAUGAAUGGCAUAACGAGGGCUUAACUGUCUCCUCUUUCCAGUCAAUGAAAUUGAUCUCCCCGUGCAGAAGCGGGGAUCACCACAUAAGACGAGAAGACCCUAUGGAGCUUUAGACAUAAGACAGAUCAUGUUAAAAAUCAUCAAAAUAAAGACAAAAACACGCCGAACCCUGUUAGAAUGUCUUUGGUUGGGGCGACCACGGAGGAAAACAAAGCCUCCAUGUGGACCGGGGCCCAACAGGCCCUAAAACCGAGAGCCUCCGCUCUAAGUAUCAAAACCUUUUGACCUAUAAGAUCCGGCUAGAGCCGAUCAACGAACCGAGUUACCCUAGGGAUAACAGCGCAAUCCCCUUUUAGAGCCCAUAUCGCCAAGGGGGUUUACGACCUCGAUGUUGGAUCAGGACAUCCUAAUGGUGCAGCCGCUAUUAAGGGUUCGUUUGUUCAACGAUUAAAGUCCUACGUGAUC
rnacentral:rRNA from 1 species